rnacentral:rRNA from 1 species
UUAAGCGACUAAGCGUACACGGUGGAUGCCCUGGCAGUCAGAGGCGAUGAAGGACGUGCUAAUCUGCGAAAAGCGCCGGCGAGGUGAUAUGAACCUUUGACCCGGCGAUGUCCGAAUGGGGAAACCCAGUGUGUUUCGACACACUAUCGUUAACUGAAUACAUAGGUUAACGAGGCGAACCGGGGGAACUGAAACAUCUAAGUACCCCGAGGAAAAGAAAUCAACCGAGAUUCCCCCAGUAGCGGCGAGCGAACGGGGAGCAGCCCGGAGUCUGAAUCAGCUUGUGUGUUAGUGGAACGGUCUGGAAAGUCCGACGGUACAGGGUGAUAGUCCCGUACACGAAAAUGCACAGGUUGUGAACUCGAAGAGUAGGGCGGGACACGUGGUAUCCUGUCUGAAUAUGGGGGGACCAUCCUCCAAGGCUAAAUACUCCUGACUGACCGAUAGUGAACCAGUACCGUGAGGGAAAGGCGAAAAGAACCCCGGCGAGGGGAGUGAAAAAGAACCUGAAACCGUGUACGUACAAGCAGUGGGAGCCUCUUUUAUGGGGUGACUGCGUACCUUUUGUAUAAUGGGUCAGCGACUUAUAUUCUGUAGCAAGGUUAACCGAAUAGGGGAGCCGAAGGGAAACCGAGUCUUAACUGGGCGUUAAGUUGCAGGGUAUAGACCCGAAACCCGGUGAUCUAGCCAUGGGCAGGUUGAAGGUUGGGUAACACUAACUGGAGGACCGAACCGACUAAUGUUGAAAAAUUAGCGGAUGACCUGUGGCUGGGGGUGAAAGGCCAAUCAAACCGGGAGAUAGCUGGUUCUCCCCGAAAGCUAUUUAGGUAGCGCCUCGUGAACUCAUCUUCGGGGGUAGAGCACUGUUUCGGCUAGGGGGCCAUCCCGGCUUACCAACCCGAUGCAAACUACGAAUACCGAAGAAUGUUAUCACGGGAGACACACGGCGGGUGCUAACGUCCGUCGUGAAGAGGGAAACAACCCAGACCGCCAGCUAAGGUCCCAAAGUCAUGGUUAAGUGGGAAACGAUGUGGGAAGGCACAGACAGCCAGGAUGUUGGCUUAGAAGCAGCCAUCAUUUAAAGAAAGCGUAAUAGCUCACUGGUCGAGUCGGCCUGCGCGGAAGAUGUAACGGGGCUAAACCAUGCACCGAAGCUGCGGCAGCGACGCUUAUGCGUUGUUGGGUAGGGGAGCGUUCUGUAAGCCGUUGAAGGUGGCCUGUGAGGGUUGCUGGAGGUAUCAGAAGUGCGAAUGCUGACAUAAGUAACGAUAAAGCGGGUGAAAAGCCCGCUCGCCGGAAGACCAAGGGUUCCUGUCCAACGUUAAUCGGGGCAGGGUGAGUCGACCCCUAAGGCGAGGCCGAAAGGCGUAGUCGAUGGGAAACAGGUUAAUAUUCCUGUACUUGGUGUUACUGCGAAGGGGGGACGGAGAAGGCUAUGUUAGCCGGGCGACGGUUGUCCCGGUUUAAGCAUGUAGGCGGAGGUUCCAGGUAAAUCCGGUACCUUUUAACGCUGAGGUGUGAUGACGAGGCACUACGGUGCUGAAGUAACAAAUGCCCUGCUUCCAGGAAAAGCCUCUAAGCAUCAGGUAACACGAAAUCGUACCCCAAACCGACACAGGUGGUCAGGUAGAGAAUACCAAGGCGCUUGAGAGAACUCGGGUGAAGGAACUAGGCAAAAUGGUGCCGUAACUUCGGGAGAAGGCACGCUGAUAUGUAGGUGAAGCCCCUGCGGGUGGAGCUGAAAUCAGUCGAAGAUACCAGCUGGCUGCAACUGUUUAUUAAAAACACAGCACUGUGCAAACACGAAAGUGGACGUAUACGGUGUGACGCCUGCCCGGUGCCGGAAGGUUAAUUGAUGGGGUUAGCGGUAACGCGAAGCUCUUGAUCGAAGCCCCGGUAAACGGCGGCCGUAACUAUAACGGUCCUAAGGUAGCGAAAUUCCUUGUCGGGUAAGUUCCGACCUGCACGAAUGGCGUAAUGAUGGCCAGGCUGUCUCCACCCGAGACUCAGUGAAAUUGAACUCGCUGUGAAGAUGCAGUGUACCCGCGGCAAGACGGAAAGACCCCGUGAACCUUUACUAUAGCUUGACACUGAACACUGGUCCUUGAUGUGUAGGAUAGGUGGGAGGCUUUGAAGCGUGGACGCCAGUCUGCGUGGAGCCGACCUUGAAAUACCACCCUUUAAUGGCUGGUGUUCUAACGUAGACCCGUAAUCCGGGUUGCGGACAGUGUCUGGUGGGUAGUUUGACUGGGGCGGUCUCCUCCCAAAGAGUAACGGAGGAGCACGAAGGUUAGCUAAUCCUGGUCGGACAUCAGGAGGUUAGUGCAAUGGCAUAAGCUAGCUUGACUGCGAGAGUGACGGCUCGAGCAGGUGCGAAAGCAGGUCAUAGUGAUCCGGUGGUUCUGAAUGGAAGGGCCAUCGCUCAACGGAUAAAAGGUACUCCGGGGAUAACAGGCUGAUACCGCCCAAGAGUUCAUAUCGACGGCGGUGUUUGGCACCUCGAUGUCGGCUCAUCACAUCCUGGGGCUGAAGUAGGUCCCAAGGGUAUGGCUGUUCGCCAUUUAAAGUGGUACGCGAGCUGGGUUUAGAACGUCGUGAGACAGUUCGGUCCCUAUCUGCCGUGGGCGCUGGAGAAUUGAGGGGGGCUGCUCCUAGUACGAGAGGACCGGAGUGGACGCAUCACUGGUGUUCGGGUUGUCAUGCCAAUGGCACUGCCCGGUAGCUAAAUGCGGAAGAGAUAAGUGCUGAAAGCAUCUAAGCACGAAACUUGCCCCGAGAUGAGUUCUCCCUGAGACUUUAAGUCUCCUGAAGGAACGUUGAAGACGACGACGUUGAUAGGUCGGGUGUGUAAGCGCAGCGAUGCGUUGAGCUAACCGAUACUAAUGAACCGUGAGGCUUAACCU